rnacentral:rRNA from 1 species
CAGCAGCCACGGUAAUACGAAGGGUGUAAGCGUUACUCGGAAUUACUGGGCGUAAAGCGUGCGUAGGUGGUGGUUUAAGUCCGUUGUGAAAGCCCUGGGCUCAACCUGGGAAUUGCAGUGGAUACUGGGUCACUAGAGUGUGGUAGAGGAUAGUGGAAUUUCCGGUGUAGCAGUGAAAUGCGUAGAGAUCGGAAGGAACAUCUGUGGCGAAGGCGACUAUCUGGGCCAACACUGACAUUGAGGCACGAAAGCGUGGGGAGCAAACAGGAUUAGAUACCCCUGUAGUCCCUGUCUCUUAUAU